GUCCUGGCUCAGGAUGAACGCUAGCUACAGGCUUAACACAUGCAAGUCGAGGGGCAGCAUGAACUUAGCUUGCUAAGUUUGAUGGCGACCGGCGCACGGGUGAGUAACACGUAUCCAACCUGCCGAUGACUCGGGGAUAGCCUUUCGAAAGAAAGAUUAAUACCCGAUGGCAUAAUUCUUCCGCAUGGUAGAACUAUUAAAGAAUUUCGGUCAUCGAUGGGGAUGCGUUCCAUUAGGUUGUUGGG
rnacentral:rRNA from 1 species